UAAGAACACAGACUGGCAGAAGAACUUCCUGAAGCAGCCCUGUGGUGAAGGACGUGGAGUUCUGAUGGAGGAAAAGCUGACGUGAGCAGCAGUGUGUGCUUGCUGUUGUACAAUUGUACAAUUCCUUGCUUUGCCAUCAGUUUGAAGGCUUGGUCACAUUGCAAGAAAAAGUGCUAUUAUGGAAGAUAAACUUUAGCUGAGGAGCAAAGAUGACAAGGAAGAAAAUGCGGCAUAACAGUGGGUUAUGGAUUGGAACAAAGUGGAACAAAGGAUUCUGAGUGCACAAAUAACUCCACGUGGCUGAAAGAGAGGUGACAGGCACAUCCCCUGCACCAGAAGUUCUGCAGAAUGAUUAAGCUGGGAUUUCAGAAUACCUUAUUUACUGUAAUGAGCAAAUAGUGAAAGAAAUGAUGUACUGAGGUGGUCUUCAACAGACAGAAGAAACAUUGUGGUCUUCAUAAGAGAUCGCCAUGCAGACAUAAUGCUCAUUAUCUGUGCAGGAGGUCGCCUUUGCAUGCUGGAGGAAAACACUGGAGAUGGGAAAGAUACCUACAGUCCUUCUGUGACUUGGGACAUAAUAAAGUAAACAUGAGUCAGUUUGUUGUGCAAGAGCUCAUUUGGAGCACAAAGACAGGAGUGUGCUGAAUGCAAUUUCCUUUGUAAGUUUCUGAGAUAAAAAACACCACUGGAACCGAAGUGGGAAGGUCCAGUCCUCCAGCACUGAAAUGGAGAUGCAAAUACUUGGAACAGAAGAUUGACCCUGUGAGACUGCCUUGGUGAUGCCUGACAGAUCGUAGGAUCAUUAAGGUGGGUUCAGCACUUUAUCAUUGUGCAGAAGCCAAAACUCUGACACUUGAAAAGAUGAAAGUUGUCAACUCUCAGCUGGUGUUUCAUCCAAGGGGAAAGGCCUGUGUUGAUUUGAACCAUCUAAGAAUAUGUCCAUAUCUGCCUUCUUUCAGAGCAGGCAUUUCAGAAAUAACCCAGGGAAGUUGCAUUUCUGCAAGGCCUGUGUACCUGACCUACAUACACAGCUUUAAAAAUUCCAGUCCUUAGGAACUACGAUGAAACUCAGCGUUGCUCUGUGUUGCAGAAAAGCCCACUAUGUUUCCCUUUUUCUCAGUAUUUUACAUGAAAAUGCUUUGGCAGGGGGAAAAAACAGAGGAAAUAUUUCUACUUGUGUUUAAUUUCAGUUACUUGAAAUAUUUCUUUGGCAGAAUGAAAUUAAUUGUUGGUUUUUUUUUUUUUAAUACUGAGGACAGAGGCUGUCCUGUGAGGCUGGACCUGGGUAGCAUGGUAAUCAGUAGAAACACAGUGGGAUAGUGGCCUGUUUUGUAUCCAAAAGAGGAGAUUGGUGUUGGGGAUAUCAAGGAUCCACUGCUGUUUUUGCAGGUGUAUUUUCUGGUUUUGCACAAACAGCUGCUGGCACAGGCACUGCCUCUUGCUCUGGUCCUGGCUUUGAUGCCCAGUCCUGCGCUGGUAAGAUGCACAGAAACACUUCACUCCUUGAAUUCCCAAGGAAGUUGUACUGGGUCUCUUAUGAGCCUUGUCUGUUUUAGGUUCUUGAUACAGUCAGGUCCUGAAGUUUGUACAUUCUGAAUUGCUAGACUGUUGCUCUUGGUGCACGUGCAUCUAAACUAAUAACUCAGUUCACUGGAGACUGUUUGAAUAAAUAGGGAGCAGUGGGAAUAAGCCCAAAGCUUGUGGGGCUGGCAGCAUUAGUAAUACUUCUGCUGAAACACACCUGUUGUUGCUUUCCCCAGAGGAAGAUUUGGUGUUCAGAAGCCCUCUGACACACGAAAAAAGACCAUGAUUUUAGAUCUCCAAACCAGCACCGCCUGAGUGGAUUUGAACAGUGCUGCUGAUAAACAGAUAAGCACAAACUGUGCAUUUCUGCUGAUAACUUGGUUGUCAAAUCUCAGGCUCAUGCAAUUGGAACUGCUGACUUAUUAAACCUCAGAAGCUGGGCUUCAUAAUGGAAACAGAAACUCUAUGAACCUUAAUUACAGCUGCAGCACUGACCAUGGCGUAGCUCUUCACACACAGGAGUUCAGCGUGAGGGGGUGAGUGUGGUAUAAACCACUGGUCAGGAAUGGUGUUAGCUGUGAAUGUGGGUUUUCUCCAUUCUGCUCACCAGGCUCAGUGGAGCAGUGUUAGCACCAGGAGAGUAAUGCAGAAGCUAUUAACCUUUUCUUUGUGCCACGUUUUCAAGACUCAGUUCAACAUCAGGUGGAAGCUGUCUGCUGUGAUGCUUUAAUAGCAAACCUGGGGAGUUUUGAUGAUGCAUUAUUAAAAAAUUAUAUCAGAAA